UACGUAGGGUGCAAGCGUUGUCCGGAAUUAUUGGGCGUAAAGAGCUCGUAGGCGGUCUGUCGCGUCUGCUGUGAAAAUCCAGGGCUCAACCCUGGACCUGCAGUGGGUACGGGCAGACUAGAGUGCGGUAGGGGAGAUCGGAAUUCCUGGUGUAGCGGUGAAAUGCGCAGAUAUCAGGAGGAACACCGGUGGCGAAGGCGGUUCUCUGGGAAUGUCCUGACGCUGAGGAGCGAAAGUGUGGGGAGCGAACAGG
rnacentral:rRNA from 1 species